CAAGUUCACAACAAAUUUACGCACCAAAUAAUUAUUUUUCCCGCACAACAAAUCCUGUGUGUAUUCAUCGGGACAACCCGUCUAGUUUUCCCCUCAAAAAGGAAAACUCGCUCUCUCUCUCUCUCUCUUAGCCGCUUGAGGUUUUCGGCAAUUCCUUGAGCGAGAUAGGGGCACUGCAACAUUUUCCGUUGCACCGUGACGCUGUUCUGCUUGCAGCGUCGAUGAAGAUGAAGAAAGGUUCGCGUUGUUGAUUCAAGAAAGGCAGCAACGACCUCUGAUGCCAUAUUCUCUUCCCGUUCUUGCUGAUUGAGGAGCACCGCCGCUGUCAAUGGAAGAACUAUGCGUCUCGAGUUGGUGGCAGCAAGUCUUCUAUUAGCAUUUACAUUAUAUUUAGAUUUUUGCCACAGCAUCCCUCUUUGGCUUUUCUAUGGCGUGUGCCAUCUAGGGUUUUCUUUUUGUGAGAUUGGUAAUUUAUGGGUACCGCCCCUCAUAACUUGGCUUUUAGGAGUUUCUUCUUUGAAAUUUCAGACUGGAUCACGUAUUCGUGUUUUCUAAUCGAAAAGGCAUUCGGGCAAACGAAUGGAGAUGCUGUGGACAAACUGCUGGAUUCUGGGUUCAAAUGCUUCAGAAAGUUUUGAGGAGCUUGGAAUUUUGAAAGACCAUCGAGCUCCUCAACUUCUUACAACCUGCUGAAUCCAACAUCAAUAGGCCAUUAUCCUGGGAUGGAUAUUCAUGAUUGUUCAGUUAUUAAUGACAGCCGGCCACUGCAACCAGGAGUUGAACAUGAACCACGAUUCAGGAAAAGGGGACAACAAUAUGAUUUGAAGCGAUCAGGUCUAUAUUUCAUGGUGACAUUGGACAAGUUUCAGCCACGCAACUUAUUUAAUGAACGAGAAAAAGGACAUCAAGUUGCAAUAGUUUAUAUUUUCAUCCCUCAUUUGAUUGAAGGUGAAAAUUAUACUGAUCAAAACUUACAGGGAACUUUAUGCACAAGGUGAUGCUAACUGAACACUAAGUUAUCCUUCAAAUUAAUUAAGACACGCAUGCACACACAAACACGGACCUCUUCAGUGGUUCAUAACCAUGCGUACAAGAAUUAAUUUCAAGAAGCUCGAUGCUCCAAAUGCCUAAGUGCUGAAUGAAACCGUGAUUCAUAAAGCUAUUAAUGUGAAAAGCUCAUGAACUAUUGUUGCAGCAAAGCCAAGUCGAACUAUUGUUGUGCAUUUUGUGUCCAACGUCAGCUCUCUAUAUAGUUAGACAGGUAGAAUCCCUGCCGCCUGCGUGGUGCAUGGUAGGAUAUGAAAGGAACCUGGGCUGCA